CCCUCCAGUUCCUGGAAAAUGAGGACAGUUGGACCUACCAGGGAUAAGUGUGUAGAGGAUCUGCAAACAUUUAAUAUGGUGAUCAGAGAAGGCCUGUGGACAAAGAGGCAUUUGGGUGAAGAGCUGAUGGAGGCAAGGGACUGAAUUUGUCCUUCCUUAAGAAUAAAAGUGAUCUCACAAGGAAGACCCGAGACAAGAGAAGCAAGAGCAAAGAAAAUGCAUGAGGAUGUAGCUGGAAGCACAUGGAAUUUGAAGUGAGAGAGAACAUGUUCUAGUGUGAACACCUGGGCAAGCCACCUCCCUCCUCCAAGUCUCAACUUCUCAUCUGCAAAACGGGGAGAGUCACACCUUCCUAUAGGAUUAUUGAAAGGAGAAAAUGGAACAAUGGAUCAAGUAAAGCACCUGACUUAGGGCAGGUGCUCAAUACAUAUUACAUGUCUUCCUACAUUUCAAAACAUUUGGAUGGAACUUCCAAUUUCUGGUCUAGCAUAAAAGAAGCUUAGAAGUCACCACUCUGUCCUAGCAAGUAAAAAGCCGAACAAAUUGAAAAAUUAGCAAUGUCUUUUAGAUCUGUAAGAGA